rnacentral:lncRNA from 1 species
GAGUGUCUUGAUCAUCAGUUUGUAGCUGCAAAGUGUUUCGAAUUGUUUCGAGGUGUAAAAUAAAUAUCACAAACUGCUGCGUUGCGUUGAGUUUGACGACGCAUUUUGGAAACCCGGAUUAUACUCCAGAAGCGAUCGAUCAACAGCGACAGAUCGGAUAAAUUAUGAAGGUAGUUCAACCUAAAGAACACAGUUCAAUUUGUUGCUUACAUGUAAACAAUUGUUACGAGCGAGUGUCCUGUUUUAAUUAAGGGUGUUAAGCAUGAAGAGGAGAAACCCCCCCAUAUAGAAAAAUAGAACAGAGCCACUUUCAAAAACAGACAAAGUAAAACAGAGCAUCAUAUGGAAGUUACAGGACACUGGAGAAGCACGCACCCAAACCAGGUGCUUAAAUACAUUUAUUUCACUACGCAAAACGUCGUACAAUAAUAAUAAUAAUAAUUUUCUAUCCUACUUUUUUUUGGAGAAUUUAUUCAGUUUUAUUCCUUCAAUUAAGAGCUGAAGCAAGAUGGAAAGAAAAUUAACUUUUGAUAUACCUUUUUUUUUCUUUUUUUCUUUUUUUCUUUUUUUCCCUCCCUCAACGAGAGAGAAAAUUAUUAUUAUAUAUUAGUUUUCCUCUUCUUUUUUUUUUUUUUUUUUUUUCUCCAUCCAAAGGAGGUGUUACUACUAAUAAGGAGAUUACGCAAUUCCAAAACCAAAACGGGAGAUCGAUUACCGCGGUCAAAAACCUUCGUAGUUGCGCAGCGCCGCGGUGACGAAGCGCGCGAUCCGCGCGGCGGUGGGGAGGCCGAAGAGGACUCCCAUGGAGAGGAUCCACAGCACGAACACGGCGAAGGCGUUCUCGGCGCCGAGCUCUCCGACGGCGCAGAUCAGGAGGGGGCUCGCCAGAAUUACGCCGACGGC